GGGAGUGUAGCUCAAUGGUGGAGCAUUUGCCUAGCAUGCAUGAGGCCCUGGAUUCAAUUCCUGGUGCUGCAA
rnacentral:tRNA from 1 species